GGAGAAAACCCACCCUGAAGACUUGAAAUUGUGUCCGGAACUGGUGGGUUCUUGGUCUCACUGACUUCAAGAAUGAAGCCGUGGACCCUCGCAGUGAGUGUUACAGUUCUUAAAGGCGGCGUGUCCAGAGUUUGUUCCUUCUGAUGUUCAGAUGUGUUCGGAGUUUGGUGGGUUAGUGGUCUCGCUGGCUCGGGAGCGAAGCUACAGACCUUGGCGAGAUGAAAUUCGAUUGGCUCCCACAUUGAACACUGUGUUGGAAAUGAGGAAACUGAGGUACAGAGAGUCCAGGCACAUUGUGAAGGUCACACAGCUAGGAGAGGAAGGAGGUGGAAUUCUCACUGAGCUGAUGUGGCCUCAGCACCUGCACUCUCCUGUUUUCUGCUGAACUGCAUUCUGCUCUCCCAUUUUAUGCCUGUGGAACAGUAAAAAAUGGGUAUGACAAAAAGCAAGACUUUAUCUUGCUUUCAUCAGCGCAUGGACAUUUGAGCUGUUUCAACCUUUUGGCUAUGAUGAACAUGUUUGGAAUGCUAUGAACAUUUAUGCACAAGUUCUG
rnacentral:lncRNA from 1 species